CCCUAUUAUUUUUGAAUGUUAAUUGUUAUUUUGUGUCUGAGUAGUAUUAGUUAUGUUCUUGAAACUUAAAGAAUUUGGCGGUAUCUCAUUCCGUCCAGAGGAAUCUGUCUCGUUAUCGAUAGUCCGCGUUGGACCUUACUUAGUUGUUUUGGUUUGUAUACCGCCGUUUAUUGAUUAUCUUUUUAGGGUUGCUUAAUUUUCUGGUUUCUUUAUUUUGGUUGAUUUCAGGUCAAGGUGCAGCUUGUUUCUAAGUGAAUGAUGGAUUACAUUGUUAUUUGUUUAUGGAUUGUUGGGUUUAAAUAUUUGCAUGAAAUUGGAUUUGGUUGUAAUUAUUUGUAGAUUGUUAUUGUGAUAGGAGGUUCUGGGAUAUGCACACAUCGCCCGUCGCUCUCGUUUUAUUGUUAAUGAAAUAAGUC
rnacentral:rRNA from 1 species